GGAGAGAUGCAACGUUACAGUAGUUUCCUGGAUUACACGAAGCCUUAGCACACAGAUUGCACAAAGCACUGUGUACAUUGAUAAUGCAAAAGAUCUAUGGAACGAUCUUGAAGAAAGAUUCUCAAAAGGGAGUCAUUUUCGCAUUUCUGACCUUCUACAAGAAAUCAAUUCUAUCAAACAGGGUGAAAGAAGCAUCAAUGAGUACUACACUGAUUCUAAAACGUUAUGGGAAGAGCUGGAUUCUCUGCAUCCUCUACCUACCUGCACCUGCAAAUCGAAAUGUACGUGCAAUGUGAUUAAAACCAUGGCAGAAUACAGAGAAUCAGAGAGAAUCAUGUGCUUUUUGAAGGGAUUGGGAGAGAGCUACAACACUGUAAAAACGCAAGUCUUAUUAAUGGAUCCCCUUCCAGGGGUCAACCGUGUCUUCUCUCUGGUUCUGCAACAGGAGAGACAUCUAAACGAAAGUGCAGUAGUGGAUACAAAAAUUCUCAUCAACAAUGCCAACCAAUAUGGUCAAAAGCUGAAUGGAAAGAACAACGGUACUAACCCUACAUGGCGCAAUUAUGGAAGAGGA
rnacentral:lncRNA from 1 species